UACGAAGGGGGCUAGCGUUGCUCGGAAUCACUGGGCGUAAAGCGCACGUAGGCGGAUUGCUAAGUCAGGGGUGAAAUCCUGGGAGCUCAACUCCAGAACUGCCUUUGAUACUGGCGAUCUUGAGUCCGGGAGAGGUGAGUGGAACUGCGAGUGUAGAGGUGAAAUUCGUAGAUAUUCGCAAGAACACCAGUGGCGAAGGCGGCUCACUGGCCCGGUACUGACGCUGAGGUGCGAAAGCGUGGGGAGCAAACAGGG
rnacentral:rRNA from 1 species